AGAGCUUUAAUUAAGUUGCCAAAUUUCAUCUGUGUUCAGAUAUAUAGACCACAGAAUGGGGAUCUGUUGAGACAGGCACUUACCAACACCCACCUGGAACCUGCUGCUGCUGUCCCCUCACUGUAACCCAGCAGUGGAAACAGACACCAAGAGUGCAGCUGCAUCCUAGAUAACCAGCUCUAGGGACAGGACCAUGCAGGUAUCAGACUUGGGCAAAACAAAUAAUUUUCUCCAGGGAGGAUGGGAUUUUCCUCACUCAACCAUGGAGCGUCUGCCAUGUCAGUCCCCAGAUCUCACCAAGUCACCUCAGGUUUCUCUGAUGCACAGUCGCAUUUGCAACACCAUCUGACCAAACACCUAUAAAGUGGUGCCUGGACCAGGAGCUGGCUCUGAUGGGGACAGAGCCCUGCAGACCUCAGCCUGCACUCAGACUGAGCCCACCAGGAGCUGCUGAUGGCCCACUCUGAACUACAGCAGAUUCCUCACAGAGCAGGAAACUGCUUCUGAAGUGAUGUGUAUAAAUGUACAUCCCAGUUAUAAAUGUUAAAUGUGGA